GCAAGGGGAGCGGCAGACGGGAGAGUAACACGUGGGAACGUACCCUUUGGUUCGGAACAACCCAGGGAAACUUGGGCUAAUACCGAAUAAGCCCUUACGGGGGAAAGAUUUAUCGCCGAAGGAUCGGCCCGCGUCUGAUUAGCUAGUUGGUGAGGUAACGGCUCACCAAGGCGACGAUCCGUAGCUGGUCUGAGAGGAUGAUCAGCCACACUGGGACUGAGACACGGCCCAGACUCCUACGGGAGGCAGCAGUGGGGAAUAUUGGACAAUGGGCGCAAGCCUGAUCCAGCCAUGCCGCGUGAGUGACGAAGGUCUUCGGA
rnacentral:rRNA from 1 species